rnacentral:rRNA from 1 species
UACGAAGGGGGCUAGCGUUGCUCGGAAUCACUGGGCGUAAAGGGUGUGUAGGCGGGUCUUUAAGUCAGGGGUGAAAUCCUGGAGCUCAACUCCAGAACUGCCUUUGAUACUGACUAUCUUGAGUGCGGGAGAGGUGUGUGGAACUCCGAGUGUAGAGGUGAAAUUCGUAGAUAUUCGGAAGAACACCAGUGGCGAAGGCGACACACUGGCCCGUUACUGACGCUGAGGCGCGAAAGCGUGGGGAGCAAACAGG